GUCCGCCUCGGAUGGUCUCCAUCUCGCAGAGCUCCGUUAGAAAGCAGCAAGCCCCAGCUGAACGUGGACCUGCACUGUCAGCACCUGCCAGGCCCCAAACUGAUGAAAGUGAAGAAGGGAAUCUUCCACAUGGCUGCAUCUUGAAAAGCAGGUGCCGCAGUGAUUGCUUCCUACCCGAACACGCUGCGCUACGCCAAGGGACUGGCCAGGUAGGAUGCAUACAGGGCAGCCACUAGAAAUCUCUGCCUUCUCCCCCGUGCCUGCUUCUGCCUCUCUGUCCUCAGGUAUUUGUUGAGCUGGCUGGAAAUGGUUCUCUUGGCUUGCAGCACCAUCCCAACCUUGGCUGCUCUAAUUCCGCCUGCUUUGAAGGACCGCAGCAAAAGGUUUGUCAGAGAACAGCAGGCUUAGCUGGUGCAGAUAUGCUUCAGCAGCAGACUGUAGUGGUGUCAGCUGAGGGAGUCUGUGAAAGGUAGAGAGGCAGUCAUUUUAUUUUGUCUUUCUGCCAGUUGUCCCAUUGCCCAGAGUAUGUGAUUUGUGAGUUUCCUUUGGCAAAGUUGCUCCAUUGCUCAUAUAUCUCUGAGCAGUGUUUCCAGGUCAUUUGGUCCGCAGGGUGGUGGCCAUCUUUUAUUUCAAGAGGGAGAGGGUUCAGGGGUAGGAUCAGAUGUGUUGAGGAGACGGCAGUCAGGUGGAGAUCAAGUUAGUGUUGUCAAAUUUAUUUCUAGCAUGGGAAAGGUGAGUAUUAGCGAGAGGAGCAAGCCUGAAAGAUGUCCUUUGAGACAAGGCGAGGAAGAAAAAAGACUUGGGAUGCAACUUUGGCUAUACAGCAAGAUGUGGUAAGAUUCUUCUGAAUUUUUGGGGCCACAACUUUACCAUUAAUGUUUUUAUAAGGAUAUUUCAAGCACACAAUAUAUGGAAAUAUUUCAUUUCCAUAUACAAAAACAAAGGAAAAAAAAAAAGCAGGGUUUGACUGAUGCUUGACUUAAUAGUGUUGUGAGUUGUGAUCCUGAAGAACUGUGUUCAGACAUAACCAAUGCACUGAACCCUGUGAAAGGGAAAUCCCUUCCCAGCAUGAACCCAUUGAAGUUGGUGGAAUUAAAGCAGGUUGUCAUAAAGCCACAGAAUUAAACUAUGGAGUUCAUUCCCACCAUUCAGGUGGCUGCACCACUAAACUGUCCAUGACAUAAAUUAUUUUCAUUGUCCACAAUAGGAUCCAGACAUUAAAUAAGUGGUCUUUAA
rnacentral:lncRNA from 1 species